GAACGCUGGCGGCGUGCCUGACACAUGCAAGUCGUACGGUCCGUGAUUGAUCAAGCUUGCUUGAUUGGUCGUGGAUAGUGGCGGACGGGUGAGUAACGCGUGGGCAACCUGCCUCAAGGUUUGGGAUAACAGCCCGAAAGGGCUGCUAAUACCGGAUAUGCCUAUGGCCUCGCAUGGGGCUAUGAGCAAAGGGGAAACCCGCCUUGAGAUGGGCCCGCGUCCCAUCAGCUAGUUGGUGAGGUAACAGCUCACCAAGGCGACGACGGGUAGCCGGCCUGAGAGGGUGACCGGCCACACUGGGACUGAGACACGGCCCAGACUCCUACGGGGGGCAGCAGUGGGGGAUCUUGCACAAUGGGCGAAAGCCUGAUGCAGCGACGCCGCGUGAGCGAAGAAGGCCUUCGGGUUGUAAAGCUCUGUCUGGAGGGACGAACAAAAUGACGGUACCUCCGGAGGAAGCCACGGCUAACUACGUG
rnacentral:rRNA from 1 species